rnacentral:snRNA from 1 species
GGGCGAUCAGGCUGCCACAUCUGUCACCCCAUUGAUCGCCAGGGUUGAUUCGGCUGAUCUGGCUGCCUACUGCUUACUUCCAAGACCUUUUGCCC